rnacentral:misc_RNA from 1 species
CAGAACAUUAAUGAACAAAAUAAUACGCGCAGAGGUUAAGAUUAGUAAAUGGAGUAUUAUACACUGUUAAGAUUACAGUUGUAUUUUCAUAAAAUAUAUAUAUAUGUAUAUAUAUAUGUUACAGUUGUAUUUACAGUUAUACAGAGUUUCAAUUACAUCCAUCACUUUCAGGACAUCAGAACGGGCCAAACAUUUUAACCAUUGCUGUUAAAAAUACUUCUGAAAGCAAUCCUCUUCCCUACAGAAUCUGCACACAACUUUGUAUACUUCAAUCAACAGCUUUGGAAAUCGACUUGCAAAAUAGCUAUCAUAUCCUUCUGGAACUGGUCCAACAAGCUCCUGCAGUAUCCACCCAAAAUAGAACAUAUCAGAUAUCGUACAUGAAUUUAAAGGACAGAACAAUGAAAAGAACUCAAGUGCACAUCCAAGUAAGCUUCCUGCCACUAAAUCAUACACCAUAGCUAAGUAAAAUAAUGUAGACUCAAACUCAAACUCAAAUGGAAACUCAAGUAAGAUCAUAUUGAUUUUACCACACUCAGAAUAGUUAGUGUAGUGUCAAACUGAAUCUAGGCUAUGGCUUCCAAAAUGGUUUAUGCCUAUUACAAGUUAGGAGUUCACAUUAAAAAUUUCAUCAAGGAGAUUCAAUAACCAUCGAACUUUUCUCCCCCUUUCUCUCCCCUUCAAAUCAAAGCCUCUGAUACAAUAGUAUAUGGUAUUUAGUAAUCCAAUUAAUGGAAGCCUAACCGGCUAACAUGGCAGUUGGUGAGGCUCAGUAGCAAUAACACUGAGAUAGAUUCAUUAAUAAAGCAGUGAUAAUCUGUGUACAGGACCAUCGAAUGCCAUACCUGCCUACCACCUACAUUGGAGCCUUGUCCAACCUCCUAGUUAGGGAGGUGACCUCUUGGUAAGUGGAAUAUUGUAAGUAUUUCAUAACAUAUUAAUUGUAAUAAAAUUAAUUAUAACACAACUGAAAAGGAGAAUUGUUGGACAAGAGAAAACAAAAUUGAGAAAUUUAUCAGGUUUAUAGCUCUCAAGGGAUCAGACCUGUUUUCCCUUUUGUUUAAAAAAUUAUCAGGCUAGAUUGCUUGCACUAUAAAUUUAUAGUUGUAUGUACUCAAUCCUUGAAAAAUUACCCAAGCAACUCAUAUUUUAACAUGUUUCUUGCUUUGAGAAACAAACCUGAAUUCCUUUGGGUAGUUCUCUAUAAUGAUUCAACUUGUUUCGCAAGACUCGCAACAAGUCCCGAACACUAUCAAACUUAUAUCGCCUGUAGCGGCCAAUGUUAGUGAUAAAUUCAGGUUCCAUCUUUUCAUUCCAUUUUCCACCAAGAGCAGUAGGUGCAGUACUCUCCAAUGCUUUCAAGAGAUCAGAAUCAGACUCCCUAUCCUCCAAUUCUACUCUGUCACUAGUGUCGCGAAGAAAUGACAAUCUCAUUUCAGAACUCCAAAACAUUGGGUGGCGCAGCACUUCUAUUGCCUUUGGCCUCAAUUCAGGGUCAGGAUUUAAUAAACAGGAAAUAAGAUCCUCAGCUUCUGGAAUGUAUUCAACUAAGAAAAGAUCUACUUUGUUUUUGACAAUAUUGAUAUCACGUUCAAGACGAUCCCCAAAUGGAUGUCUACCACCAGUAAUACAGAAAAAGAGGACACAACCCAAACUAAACAAAUCAACUGCACGUGUUUGGCGUCCAUGAAGAAGCUGCUCUGGUGCUUGCCAACCAGAGCUGCCACAGCCUGCAAAUUAAGUAGUCAAUUAUCGGGGUAAAUUGACCACGAAAAAUUAGGUUUCACGUGACUAGAAAUUAGGAUUAGGAGAACAAACAAGGUCAGUACACCUUCCCUUGGAUCAUUCAUUUCUAUCAUGACUUGACAAAGAUGACUUGGGAUAAUGAUGAGAAAUUUUUUACAUGAACGGGCCACUGACCCCAAAUGCUUAUCGUGUAGCAAACAGAAAUUAAGGAUAUUAAUAAAUUAACCAGAUAAAAAUAAUAACAAUAAAUAAAUUAACCAAUUAAUAUCACUUACCAGUAGCAUUAUAACCCAAUGAAGACGUAUCCCCAAGAAGACGCUUGCUGAUUCCCAUAUCAGAAAGCUUCGCACAUAAAGAUCUUUCUUUAAGAAGUAAUACAUUUUGAGGCUUCAAGUCUCGAUGGAUUAUACCCAAUUCGUGUAAAUGCACAAGCCCAGAAACCACAUCCCUGUUUUACAGAUUAAAUAUGAAAAAGAUCAAAAAGAUGCUUGAGUCGGUGCAUACACUGCAAUGCCUAGGUCCAUUAAACUUGAAAGAGGUUUUCAACUAUACCAUCUAGUGGUUUGCUGUUACUUCUUCCAUUAAAAUUAGCACCUCUAAAUUUUUACCCUAAAAAUACCAUUAUCUUUUGUGAUUUUGCAAAGAUAAAAGAUAAUGUCCAUGAUAAAAAAAAAAUGAUAAUUAUUUCUAAUACAAAAUUUCUUAAUUUUCUAAACUAUUUGAUAAAAUGUAUUAAAUGAUUCUUUUAAGAAAAUCAAUUAGCAUUAGCAGAAAAGAAAGCAGUGUGAACCUCAAGAAUCAAACUAUCUUGCAGAAAAUAACAUAGGUGGCCAUGUGCUAGCAAGAAAUAUCACAAAGGGGCUUUGUUCAAUUGAUUCAACUUGAGGAAUAUUUGACAUAGGCAACUUGCCUCCAACUAUUUUCACAAAGGUCAGAAAGGUUGAAGUGCCAUAACUUGAAGUAAUGAAGCUUAUAAAUUCUAUAAAUAUUUCAUCAACUAAGUCAUUGCAAAUACCAUUACUUGCACAUACCUAAAGCAUAGUUCGGCAAUAUUGGCCAUAAUAAUAAAACAACGUAGACAUGAAUGUCUUCCAAGGAUGGUGUGACAAUCCCAUUACCAUGGAACAAUCUAUGGUAUUCUCACAAAAUUUGGUUACAACGCAUCCUCUAGUAUGAAUCAUUGACCAAUAGAACCAUUGGACAGCAAACCAUUACAAUGACAUCACCAAAAGCUUUCUGGACAUUGACUGAUUAAGAGAUAAUAUGUAUAUUUCAGCCACUUAAGGACUCAAAACUGCAUGGUAUAGGCCUAGCUCUAUCCCCUGGAAGUCCAUUGCGAGAAAAAUUAUUAACGAAGAACCAAAAACUAAAUAUUAAUAUUUAAAUAAAAAUUUUGCAAUCUACACAAAAGCACAAAAAUACUACUGCUCAUGGUGAUAAGAUUAUCUAAUUUUGGCCAGCCAAUAAUUGACCAGAACAGAAAUAUAAGGCACAAAACAUCCAUGUCAGGAGUCAGUAGUAAUUUUUUUUUAGCAUAAAGUGCUAAUGAAUCAGGAAGAUUGUUUGCUUACUUCAUUAGUGCUAAUAGAAGAGGUGAUGGAUGGCCAUUUUCUUUCCACCAAUUAAGGUCCUCCAUUAUACCCUUCACCUUAUCCAGCCAACGUUUAUACUCAAUUGUGGCUCUAGUAGCUUGGUCCUCACCGGAGAUUUGGUUUAGAGAGGAACCAAAAAAUAUCUGAAUCAAAUCGUCUAAGCUGCAUGUACAGCGCUCCAAAGAUAGGUAGACAAAAUCUUUAUCAUACUCCACCCCAUACCAACGAACAAUAUUUGGAUGUCUAUCUGAUGCAAUGAGAUUCUGAAUUUCUUUAAAUGCCACAUCAUGAUGAGUUCGAACAAGGCGUUUCACAGCAACAGGUCGACCUUCAUAUAUACCUUCAAGGAUAAUGGUACCAUUGCUUCCCUUAGCAAUUUCUGUAUUUGAUACAAAUAACUUGCCAAUUCUAUGUCCAUCAGUGCCACUAUCAACAAGUUUAUUAAGGUCCAAGAAUGUUGUGUCAUCAUCUUCACUGAGUGCAGGUCCAUCCCCAUUUUCAGAUGAUCCAUCUGCAUCCUUUGUAUCAACACUGCCAUUUUUCUUUCCUGAUUUCUUGCUUUUCUUCCUUUUAGAAGGUGAAGCUUUUAAACUGCUACUACUGGACAGCUUCUCUGAAGCAAUCUUUUCUUUACCCACUAGAUAGAUAAAGCCCAACAGAAUGAUGACCACAAUCAAAAUGAAAGCUGUCGACCACUUAAUGAGCAUGUUUAACACAUUUUCAUAAAGCAAUCUUGCAUCAUGCACAUCAACCACCCCAGAAUCAUAAGGCAAAGCAAGCAUUCCUUCACUCCCAUCAUUGGGAUGAAAAUUUGACAAUUUAUCAACUUUGGGUUCCAACGCAAGCACAGGAUUUGAAGCAGACCCCGUAAGCAUCCUUCUUUCAUGAUGAUCCUCUAAUGAUCUGUCAACACCAGGCUCUGAGGGAAGCAUUAGAUUUGAUGCAGGCAAUGGAAGCUUCUCGUCACCAUGAGCAGCCCCAAAAGAAGACUGUGGCUUACCUUGUCUUCGAACCAUCAUUCUUCUAGGUUGACAUGACAAAAACACCUCAAAAUCACUUCCACUUUCAGAACCAAGGUCAUAAGCAGAGUUUAAUGUGGUUUCUGAGUUCUCAACAUCUUUACAUAGAAAAGCAGCCUCAAUCAUGGCCACUUUCAUAUUCCAAGAAACAUUGUCUGAAUUUGAACCAAAAGUUUGCAGUGUGUAAUCUGUCCUUGUGAUGUAUAUGACUUGAGCAGUACUUGAAGAGCCAGACAUUACCAGAUCCUUAUUAUUUUUAUUGUCAUCAUGCAAAGCACUCCCUUCUUCAUCUCUUUGCAAUGUGGAUGGAGUAUCAAGUGACUUAUAAGUGUGAACAAGUCUUCCAGUCUUAGCUUCAACCACAAACACUGUAGUUGUCUUAGAUCCAAGUAUAACUGACCCAUCUUCUGAUAUGUGUGGUGUAAUUUUGAUGAAGUCUUCAAUAUUCAUUUGAAGUUUCUGUUAGCGCAACAGUAUCAAUGAUUAAGAUGUAUGCAAACAUGGAAAAAAAGUAAAUGUUAAAAGCAGAAGAAAACUGGCAGCUUAAUCUCUAUGGGGAAGAAAACCACCAUUGGGCAAUCCUAAACAAAAUUCUCUGUAUGUGAAUAAGCUUCUUAGGCAUAUGGCAUACCACUCCACUAGAGUGUUUUCCAUGUGCAUACAGUUGCCAGUCAUCUCCAUAAUCUACAAAGAAUCCAGUUCUUGGUCCGGAGGCAUUUUCUUUAUCCUUAUCUUGAUGGAAUGGAGCUUGAUAUGAUGAGUAUAUUGGUGCUCCAGAUGAAAAUGACCAGAAAACUUUCCCAGAAGCUGUAUCUUCAAAAUAAAUUGUUCCAUUAGGGAGCGCAACUAGUUCUGCAGAAUCUUCCAGAUGUGACGAUGAUUUGAGAGACCGGGCUCCAGCUCGAGUAGGGGACUUGAAAUCAAUCCAUUGAGGACUCGAAGGCACAAUCUCGGUACUCUCGGAGUUGAAUCCGUCAACGUAUGAGUUAAAAAAACCAUAAAUUAACAGCAACAAGAAACAGAAAAAAAGAAAAUGAAGUUUCAUUCCCAAGUACUGGAGAAAUAAAUUCAGAGCUUCACAUAUGAACUUUUUGCAGGGUCAUGGUGGCCGUGGUGGUUGAUGCUGAUGAAAGAGAGAAAAAGCGGAAACCCAACAGAAUCAAAACAAGCAUAGAAUUUAAGAUUCCAAGCUUGUUUGAACCUGCAAAUCUUGGGAUCUCCUAUCAGCGCCGCAACCCCCAAGUUGGCCUGGAUUCGCCUCCCAAAAGAUUAUACAAGCAUAUUAUCUGUGGGCUUACCG